CGUGUAGGCGGUAAUGUAAGUCAGACGUGAAAUCCUUUGGCUCAACUGAAGAACUGCGUCUGAAGCUGCAUGACUAGAGUGCAGAAGAGGGAAACGGAAUUCCUGGUGUAGAGGUGAAAUUCGUAGAUAUCAGGAGGAACACCGGUGGCGAAGGCGGUUUCCUGGUCUGACACUGACGCUGAGGCGCGAAAGCGUGGGGAGCAAACAGGAUUAGAUACCCUGGUAGUCCACGCCGUAAACGGUGGGUACUGGGUGUGGGAGGUGUAAUGCCUUCUGUGCCGAAGCUAACGCGUUAAGUACCCCGCCUGGGGAGUACGGCCGCAAGGUUGAA
rnacentral:rRNA from 1 species